UACGUAGGGGGCAAGCGUUGUCCGGAAUCAUUGGGCGUAAAGAGCGUGUAGGCGGUCCGGUAAGUCGGCUGUGAAAGUCCAGGGCCUACCACCGUGGAUGCCGGUCGAUACUGCCGGACUAGAGUUCGGAAGAGGCGAGUGGAAUUCCCGGUGUAGCGGUGAAAUGCGCAGAUAUCGGGAGGAACACCUAUGGCGAAGGCAGCUCGCUGGGACGUUACUGACACUGAGGCGCGAAAGCGUGGGGAGCGAACAGG
rnacentral:rRNA from 1 species